CCCUUAGAUGUUCUGGGCUGCACGCGCGCUACAAUAGUACGAUCACUAGGUCUUCCUUUGCCGAAAGGCAUGGGUAAUCCUUGCAAACCGUACUUUGACCGGGCUUGACGAUUGUAACUUUUCGUCAUAAACGAGGAAUUCCUAGUAAACGGAACUCAUCAAGUUCCAUUGAUUACGUCCCUGCCCUUUGUACACACCGCCCGUCGCUCCUACCGAUUGAAUGAUCCGGUGAACACUCUGGAAUCGCGGAUUUCUGCGGGUUUUCCCAUCAGAAUCCAUCGGUGAAGUUGUGUAAAUCUUAUCAUUUAGAGGAAGGAGAAGUCGUAACA
rnacentral:rRNA from 1 species